rnacentral:pre_miRNA from 1 species
CGUUGUCUAUAUAUACCCUGUAGAACCGAAUUUGUGUGGUAUUCACAUAGUCACAGAUUCGAUUCUAGGGGAAUAUAUGGUCGAUGC